GAUGUGACGCAAUGGUUAGUGCGACUGCCUGCGACGCAGAAGGUUUCGGGUUCAAGUCCCGGUGGGUCA